CCUACGGGAGGCAGCAGUGAGGAAUAUUGGUCAAUGGACGAGAGUCUGAACCAGCCAAGUAGCGUGAAGGAUGACUGCCCUAUGGGUUGUAAACUUCUUUUAUAUGGGAAUAAAAUGUUCCACGUGUGGGAUUUUGUAUGUACCAUAUGAAUAAGGAUCGGCUAACUCCGUGCCAGCAGCCGCGGUAAUACGGAGGAUCCGAGCGUUAUCCGGAUUUAUUGGGUUUAAAGGGAGCGUAGGUGGAUUGUUAAGGCAGUUGUGAAAGUUUGCGGCUCAACCGUAAAAUUGCAGUUGAAACUGGCAGUCUUGAGUACAGUAGAGGUAGGCGGAAUUCGUGGUGUAGCGGUGAAAUGCUUAGAUAUCACGAAGAACUCCGAUUGCGAAGGCAGUUCACUGGACUGCAACUGACACUGAGGCUCGAAAGUGUGGGUAUCAAACAGGAUUAGAUACCCUUGUAGUC
rnacentral:rRNA from 1 species